UUCAUGACAAAAUUGUGUUUUGGUGAUGGUGAUGUGUUUGUACAUCUUACUUUACUGAACAUUCUUGCUGCUUACAGUUAUCUCUAUCUAUAAUGAACUUGGCCCAGUAGUUUCAGUGGAAAAUAUCAGUAAAAAUUUACAAAUUUUAUGAAAAUUGUUAAAAAUUUACUAUAAAGGACAAUAACUCCUUAGGGGGUCAAUUGACCAGUUCAGCCAUGUUGACUUAUUUGUAAAUCUUACUUUG
rnacentral:lncRNA from 1 species